AAUAACACAUGGCCACCAAAAACCUGACAAAUGUUUUUCCCUGAAAACACACAACAAUUUUGAAAUGCAUCAGUACACCCUGACAUUUUCAAUUUCAGAAGCAACCAAACAUGCUAAAUAGUACUCAUGUACUUACUGGAAGCACACAUAUCCUAAAAUAUUAAUCAUGUACUUACUGGUAUAGAUUAAAUUUGCCAAUGGGAGAUUAAGCUCUCCAAGUGCAACAUGGAAGGAAGAAAUAACUGACUGUCAAUAGCACCCAGCGGUAUAGUAUUCAACAUGACAAAAUUGAACGUUCAACAUUAGAUGGGAACUUGGACGGGGCGCAUUGCUCUACUCGGACAACGCCCAGUGCUCAACUUGGACGAAUGAGGCUGUCGUGCGCUUGGGAGGUUCCACACCUGCAUAAUUACUAUAAGGGGAUUACAGACAUCUCCCCUGUCUUCAAAUGGUGGCACUGCAGGCCAGCUGUUGCUGCUCCUUGAACCAAAGGGAGAGAAAAAAUGCGGACCUAUGGCCGAGCACAAUGUCAACUUGAUAUUUCAUCAGUACUAGUAUGACUGGACAAGAACGUAAUUAAUUUCAAACACUAAAUGAAAUCCGGAUAGCUUAGUGAAAUUGCAAUAUGGAGCUUUAGUCACCUUCCCCUGACAAAGAGUGACAGAUACAAAGUAGUACUGCGCAUUUCUGAAACACUUGACUAAAACCAUAGCAGCUGUAGGCCUGUCAUCAUCCCUGAUGGUCUUUGUGAUUACUCAUCCAUUUUUUUAGUAUCACCACCGUGGCUACCCCUUCAAGUAAGCACUUUUGGUGUAAGCAUACAUGAGCAGGGCUUGCGUGGAGGCCGCGUGAGGAGCUAGUUGAGGACGACCACAUUCGUGUUCGUGCUGCUGCCGUUGUGGCAAAAGGGGCAACGACCUGUAUUGGUUGCAGGAGCUGGACUGACCACCUAGGCAUCACAUCAAAGUAAUUAGCAAGAUUAACCACUAAUUUUUACAAGAAUUAGCCAGCAAUUAAAAGGGUGAGAAAUAAGAGUUCUAGUAAUUAUAAUUUACAAACACUAGUUCAAGUCAGGUUUGCUAUUUUUGAAUUUGAUGCAUGUUGCGCUAUAGGACUACUACG
rnacentral:lncRNA from 1 species